AACUUCUUUCAACAAAAUGUGAAACUUUAUGCAAUGAAGCAUGUGCUUCAUUAGUUUGCUGCCGCUUCAAAAAAGCUUUCCCCAUCUGAAACAACAUUAACACUGUCAGUGAGUAUAAAAUCCUAAUAAAUUCGGAGACCAAAUCCAACAGUACUAAAUAUUAAAUGUGAAUAAAAUCAAAGUAAAAACUUAUGGUUUCAGAGUUUUCCAUUAAAAACCAUGAACUUAAGCAUUUACUAAACAAUGAAAAAGAUAAAAUUCAUGUUUGUUGACAAACAUAUGAAUUUGUAGUAAAAGAUGAAGCUCUAUCAUAUUGUUAAUAAAAGAGCCUAGAUAGAAUCAAAGGUACAUGCAACUAAACAAAAUAUUAUGAUGAGGAGAGAAAAACAGGACAUUGUAUUAAAGGGAUUAUGAUCUAAGCGGCCAAAAUUUCGUUGAAAAUUAAUGUAGCUUUGUGUGAUUUGCUGGUUAAUGCAAUAGCAAACCAAAACGCUUGCAUAGCUACAGCUUAGUUAAUAUCCCUGUGUUCUUUUUGUUUGGUCUUAUGCAGGUAUUACUUAUGUUCGGAUCUUAUAAGUUCUAGUUUCCCUUUGUUAAUAAACAGAAACACAUGAGAAGCUCCCAACUAAUAAUCAUCAUCAGAUUAGCCACAAAAGAUUGGAAAUAUAAUUUGAUAAUGCAUAUGAACUAAAGGAAUGUAGAACAGUCGAAAUUAGGAAAGAAAAAAAACUGUCAAAAGAGAAAAGCAAAGGAAAUUAACAAAAAAACUAUUCUACAGAACAUUAGACUAAACAUCAAAUUAAAGGAAAAGAAAAGGCCACUAAAUGCCCAUUCAGUUGAAUUUGAGUAAUAUGAAGCGAUAAAUAACCAAUUAAAGAGAUAUGAACUACUUACCAUUCCAAGUUAAAAACAUCAUGGCAAGAGCUGCUACUGUACACAAUCCUGCACCUGAUAAUGAUGCUUCUGUCAAAUCUCUUGCAAUUUUUCUGCACAUAGGGCAAGCUGUAGUAUAUAUAUUUUUUAAAGUAUCAGGGAGAAGUCAAAUUUUACAGAAGAAAGUUUAUCCCAGGUUUAUUUAUAUAUCUACUUUUUUCUUCUGUUUUCAAAUAGACACACCAAACCUCAGAUCACUAUGUAGAUACCUCAAAAAAAGAAUCAGAACAGUCCCUCUGCCAUUGAUUCUACCAAAGCGGUCUCUGAAGACUCGUCACACUUGUUGUAUCUUGCAAUAAUUUGUUUCAUACUGUAAAAAGUUGGAACAGACGUAUAAAAUGACUGAAAAAAUUGUUUAGCUUCUUGGUUUUAUAAUGUAUAAAUUCGCAAACAGAGAGCUGCUUUGUGUAUCAGAAUGAAGAAAUUGACAAUAAAUGUAUAACUAAGUGAUAGAAAAUGUAAAGACCAAAAUAUAAUUACAGGUAUAAGGGGUAUAGAAAUGAGGGGUAUGUAGCUGGCCUCCAUCACAUUAACCAUUCAGGAUGCUCAGUUCACUAAUACUAUUGUUUCUGACUGUCAUCAAAGCUUGUCAUUCUCCAAUAUUAGUCACUUGAUAUAGUGUCUGAUUUUUUUUUUUUU